UGGAGACAUUUUCUGAUGCUAGUGAUGCGU
rnacentral:piRNA from 1 species